CGGUGAGGACAGAACUUUCCAAAACCAAGAGGAGGUUGAAUUCGUCGAAGGAGUGUAACUACGUCAAGGUGCUUGAUUCGCCCUCUGUAAACAUGGAACAGUUACAUUUAUAAAAUCAUGGAAGGCAGAAUGUAUUAGAGAAAAGAGGGCAGAUGGAAGAAAGACAAAAUAUGUUAUUAAGAAGAAGGCAAAAGGCAGAGAUGGCAAAUUGAUUGUGGAAAUUAGAAAUAAACAAAACAGAUACCGAAGAAAAUAAUGAUUCGUAAAGAAUGGAAGAAACACUGUUGCCUUCGGAUUUGAACAUGAGAAAACAGUGGUAUCUGAAUUUCUAAUGAUGGGAUCUUUUGAGAACUUUGUAUUGCUUCUGCUGGGAGGACACAUCCUCCAUAGUGGGGGUUCAGCAUUUACACUGCUGGGACUAGGACUCUGGACUCUGCAUGUGUACUCCUGAGCAACUGAGCUAGUGUGCUGUUAACACUGAAUUUGUACUUGUAUGGAACAAGGAACUACACAUUUGUUUUGUUCGCAUCAAUAAGUAUCUCUCUCUUGCAAAGCAAAUCUAAUCACAGCGCACACAUACUUGGCCUCAGGGUCAUACUCUGCCCAGAUCCUUUUAAAUUCAUCCAGAUGGUGUGGCCCCAGAAUAGACCAAUCACGAGUCAGAUAAUCAAAAUUAUCCAUGAUCACAGCGACAAAGAGGUUGAUGAUC